GGCCAACUAGCUCAGCCAGUUAGAGCAUUGUGCUAAUAAUGCAAAGGUCUUGGGUUUGAUCCCCACGUUGGCCA